rnacentral:rRNA from 1 species
UACGGAGUUACAAAGGACGACAUUAGACGAAUCAUCUGGAAAGAUGAAUCAAAGAAGGUAAUAAUCCUGUAGUCGAAAAUGUUGUCUCUCUUGAGUGGAUCCUGAGUACGACGGAGCACGUGAAAUUCCGUCGGAAUCUGGGAGGACCAUCUCCUAAGGCUAAAUACUCUCUAGUGACCGAUAGUGAACCAGUACCGUGAGGGAAAGGUGAAAAGCACCCCGGAAGGGGAGUGAAAUAGAACCUGAAACCGUGUGCUUACAAGUAGUCAGAGCCCGUUAAUGGGUGAUGGCGUGCCUUUUGUAGAAUGAACCGGCGAGUUACGAUUUGAUGCAAGGUUAAGCAGUAAAUGUGGAGCCGUAGCGAAAGCGAGUCUGAAUAGGGCGUUUAGUAUUUGGUCGUAGACCCGAAACCAGGUGAUCUACCCUUGGUCAGGUUGAAGUUCAGGUAACACUGAAUGGAGGACCGAACCGACUUACGUUGAAAAGUGAGCGGAUGAACUGAGGGUAGCGGAGAAAUUCCAAUCGAACCUGGAGAUAGCUGGUUCUCUCCGAAAUAGCUUUAGGGCUAGCCUCAAGUGAUGAUUAUUGGAGGUAGAGCACUGUUUGGACGAGGGGCCCCUCUCGGGUUACCGAAUUCAGACAAACUCCGAAUGCCAAUUAAUUUAACUUGGGAGUCAGAACAUGGGUGAUAAGGUCCGUGUUCGAAAGGGAAACAGCCCAGACCACCAGCUAAGGUCCCAAAAUAUAUGUUAAGUGGAAAAGGAUGUGGCGUUGCCCAGACAACUAGGAUGUUGGCUUAGAAGCAGCCAUCAUUUAAAGAGUGCGUAAUAGCUCACUAGUCGAGUGACACUGCGCCGAAAAUGUACCGGGGCUAAACAUAUUACCGAAGCUGUGGAUUGUCCUUUGGACAAUGGUAGGAGAGCGUUCUAAGGGCGUUGAAGCAUGAUCGUAAGGACAUGUGGAGCGCUUAGAAGUGAGAAUGCCGGUGUGAGUAGCGAAAGACGGGUGAGAAUCCCGUCCACCGAUUGACUAAGGUUUCCAGAGGAAGGCUCGUCCGCUCUGGGUUAGUCGGGUCCUAAGCUGAGGCCGACAGGCGUAGGCGAUGGAUAACAGGUUGAUAUUCCUGUACCACCUAUAAUCGUUUUAAUCGAUGGGGGGACGCAGUAGGAUAGGCGAAGCGUGCGAUUGGAUUGCACGUCUAAGCAGUAAGGCUGAGUAUUAGGCAAAUCCGGUACUCGUUAAGGCUGAGCUGUGAUGGGGAGAAGACAUUGUGUCUUCGAGUCGUUGAUUUCACACUGCCGAGAAAAGCCUCUAGAUAGAAAAUAGGUGCCCGUACCGCAAACCGACACAGGUAGUCAAGAUGAGAAUUCUAAGGUGAGCGAGCGAACUCUCGU